GUGAUCAUUUUGGCAGCACAUAUACUAAAACUGGAACAAUACAGGGAAGAUUUGCAAGGCCUCUGCACAUGGCAGGAAAUUCGGGGAGCCGGCCAUAUUUUC
ensembl:snRNA U6 spliceosomal RNA